rnacentral:rRNA from 1 species
UACGUAGGGUCCGAGCGUUGUCCGGAAUUACUGGGCGUAAAGAGCUCGUAGGUGGUUUGUCGCGUUGUUCGUGAAAACUCACAGCUCAACUGUGGGCGUGCGGGCGAUACGGGCAGACUAGAGUACUGCAGGGGAGACUGGAAUUCCUGGUGUAGCGGUGGAAUGCGUUGAUAUCAGGAGGAACACCCAUGGCGAAGGCAGCAAACUGGUCAUCAACUGACGACUGAGG